rnacentral:rRNA from 1 species
UGGGGAAUAUUGCACAAUGGGCGCAAGCCUGAUGCAGCCAUGCCGCGUGUAUGAAGAAGGCCUUCGGGUUGUAAAGUACUUUCAGUCGGGAGGAAGGUGUCAAGGUUAAUAACCUUGGCAAUUGACGUUACCGACAGAAGAAGCACCGGCUAACUCCGUGCCAGCAGCCGCGGUAAUACGGAGGGUGCAAGCGUUAAUCGGAAUUACUGGGCGUAAAGCGCACGCAGGCGGUUGAUUGAGUCAGAUGUGAAAUCCCCGGGCUUAACCCGGGAAUUGCAUCUGAGACUGGUCAGCUAGAGUCUUGUAGAGGGGGGUAGAAUUCCAUGUGUGGCGGUGAGAUGCGUAGAGAUGUGGAGGAAUACCGGUGGCGAAGGCGGCCCCCUGGACAAAGACUGACGCUCAGGUGCGAAAGCGUGGGGAGCAAACAGG